UCGCUCAGCACACGCGUGGACGUUUACGUCUUUCAGACGACGGGAAAAUGUCCCAAAGUUACAUGUUUUUGAUGCACUUAGACAAGUUUCAAGUUCCGCAAGAAUUGUAGAACAUUCUGAAAGCAUUGCGAAAGUUCCGUUGGUUAUUGCCGUGAUGCGUGUGUGUACGUCGUGUAGCUAGGACGGUGGUUAACAAAAACACAACCACUAGAACUCGCAUUUUUCAAGCAUUUUUAAUAUUUAAAGACCUGAAGUCCCAUCCACUAUUCCACGCAAUCGACUGGAAGCGAAUCAGGGAGACAGAAGCCCCUUUCAUCCCAGCCCCAGAUGACAGAACGGACACCGCUUAUUUUGACGCUCGGAACAACAUGCAGCAUCUCCAGAUGUCUUCUUUUGCACUUUGACCUCUUGAAUGAUAGUGCAAUCCACAACUCAUCAACAGAAGUAAUGAAACUAUUCCAGGAUGGUGGUCAACUUGGUCCAGUGGUUAGACUGCAGGACUUGCAAUCACAAGGUUGUAGGUUUGAAUCCUACUAAGCUAACUGUGGU